rnacentral:lncRNA from 1 species
AGGGGGGGAGCAGAGAGAGAGAGAGCAUCGACAGGUUAUGGGACCUCAUCCCUACUGGAAGAAAGAAAAGACUUCGAGAGAUCUAUUUUUGUUUCUCAAACAGGCAUGAGGCCCCGCCAAUCCCUACUCUCUCUCUCUCUCUCUCUCUCAUCUCACUCCAUUAUUUUCUCUCCUUGACACGUAGGGUUUGAAAUGGUCGAAAGGCCAUGCCCUACCUAAGACAUGUCUAUAAUUU